CCUCUCUGCCGCCUCCCCUUCUUCUCUGUCCUCUCCCCAUUCUCCCCCGCUGCCCUUCCAACUCCCCUCCCCCUGCAGUCCCCCCUGCGGAGGCGAUGCGACGUGCCCAGCCAGCAGCGGCGGCGGCCCGGCGGUGCGGCUCGCGCGACCCGCGAGGUGGAGGAGUGGCCUGGAUGCUGCACAAUAGCGGGGCAUACCGCUGCCGAGAUCGCCGCCCGUUCAGCCCACGCUGUCGGCCAACAGGUGGGGGUCCGCUGCUUCCCGGCGCCGUCGCCCUCGGAGGCUCCGUACGAGCCUUGCCUUCGCGUUCACCCUCGAUGCCGCUACGGCCUCCUUCCCCUCCUCGCCUUGUGCCCGCACGGCGCCAUGGCCUCUUCCCCCGCCUUCCGUGCACCCCAUGGCGCUCGCCGCCGCCACGUCCUCCUCCUAUGAUUAGGGCAAAAUCGCAGGCAGGCGGCCAGGGGCCCAUAUGCGCCUGAGCGGAAUCGCAGCCAGGCGGCAAGCGGGCACAUCUCAUCACGAACGCCUCUGACGUCAGCGAGCCCCCCACGCCGAAGUGCAGCGACGCAGUUCGCCUCCUGCCCCUCCCCAGACGACUCUCCCACACCAAUCCAGCAUCCAUACUCCAUACGUCUGCUUGAAGUCCACCCCAAGGUCUGAGAACCCUUGGCGUGGAGGAGGAUAAAGUAUCUCUAACUUCCACCACAAAGUUUUUCAUAUGAUGGACCUCUUUUGUACAUUCUGGUUAUUUUUUCCCCCUGAAAUUGCUAUAGGCAUCCCUUCAUCAAGCUUAAUUAUAAGAGAAUGAGUUUUCUGCU